AUUGAACGCUGGCGGCAUGCCUUACACAUGCAAGUCGAACGGCAGCACGGGAGCAAUCCUGGCGGCGAGUGGCGAACGGGGGAGUAAAGUAUCGGAACGUGCCCAGUCGUGGGGGAUAACGUAGCGAAAGUUACGCUAAUACCGCAUACGAUCUAUGGAUGAAAGCGGGGGAUCGCAAGACCUCGCGCGAUUGGAGCGGCCGAUAUCAGAUUAGGUAGUUGGUGGGGUAAAGGCUCACCAAGCCGACGAUCUGUAGCUGGUCUGAGAGGACGACCAGCCACACUGGGACUGAGACACGGCCCAGACUCCUACGGGAGGCAGCAGUGGGGAAUUUUGGACAAUGGGCGAAAGCCUGAUCCAGCCAUGCCGCGUGCAGGAUGAAGGCCUUCGGGUUGUAAACUGCUUUUGUACGGAACGAAAAGGUUUGGCCUAAUAAGCUGAGCUCAUGACGGUACCGUAAGAGUAAGCACCGGCUAACUACGUGCCAGCAGCCGCCGUAACAC
rnacentral:rRNA from 1 species